rnacentral:rRNA from 1 species
AGUGAACGCUGGCGGUAGGCCUAACACAUGCAAGUCGAACGGCAGCACAGUAAGAGCUUGCUCUUACGGGUGGCGAGUGGCGGACGGGUGAGGAAUACAUCGGAAUCUACUUUUUCGUGGGGGAUAACGUAGGGAAACUUACGCUAAUACCGCAUACGACCUACGGUUGAAAGCAGGGGAUCUUCGGACCUGGCGCGAUCGAAUUAGCCGAUGUCGGAUUAGCUGGUUGGCGGGGUAAAGGCCCACCAAGGCGAGGAUUCGUAGCUGGUCUGAGAGAAGGGUCGGCGGCCCUGGAACUGGGACACCGUCCAGGGUACUGAGGGAGGCCGCAGUGGGGAAUGUUGGACAAUGGGCGCAAGCCUGAUCCAGCCAUACCGCGUGGGUGAAGAAGGCCUUCGGGUUGUAAAGCCCUUUUGUUGGGAAAGAAAAGCAGCAGGUUAAUACCCCGCUGUUCUGACGGUACCCAAAGAAUAAGCACCGGCUAACUUCGUG